rnacentral:rRNA from 1 species
UACGUAGGCAGCGAGCGUUGUCCGGAUUUAUUGGGCGUAAAGGGCGCGUAGGCGGCUCUGCACGUUCGUUGUGAAAUCGCCCGGCUCAACUGGGCGGGGUCAGCGGAUACGGCAGAGCUUGAGCAAGCUAGGGGGCAAUGGAAUUCCCGGUGUAGUGGUGGAAUGCGUAGAUAUCGGGAGGGACACCAGUGGCGAAGGCGGUUGCCUGGGGCUUUGCUGACGCUGAUGCGCGAAAGCGUGGGGAGCGAUCCGG